rnacentral:tRNA from 1 species
CUGCCACUGGGCCACCGGCUGCGGGUCCGGCUGAUCGAGGCGGCCCCGGGCCGGGAGAAGGUCUGGUUCGCCCCGGCGUGACGGG